rnacentral:rRNA from 1 species
AGAGUUUGAUCCUGGCUCAGGACGAACGCUGGCGGCGUGCCUAACACAUGCAAGUCGAGCGGAGACAGUGAGUAGCUUGCUAUGAGCUGUUUUAGCGGCGGACGGGUGAGUAACGCGUGAGCAACCUUUCCCAGACAGGGGAAUAACACACCGAAAGGUGUACUAAUACCGCAUAAGACCACGGGAUCACAUGGUUCUGAGGUAAAAGAUUUAUCGGUUUGGGGUGGGCUCGCGUCCGAUUAGGUAGUUGGUGAGGUAACGGCCCACCAAGCCGACGAUCGGUAGCCGACCUGAGAGGGUGAUCGGCCACAUUGGGACUGAGACACGGCCCAAACUCCUACGGGAGGCAGCAGUGGGGAAUAUUGGGCAAUGGGGGGAACCCUGACCCAGCAACGCCGCGUGGAGGAAGAAGGUUUUCGGAUCGUAAACUCCUGUCCUUGGAGACGAGUAGAAGACGGUAUCCAAGGAGGAAGCCCCGGCUAACUACGUGCCAGCAGCCGCGGUAAUACGUAGGGGGCAAGCGUUGUCCGGAAUAAUUGGGCGUAAAGGGCGCGUAGGCGGCUCGGUAAGUCUGGAGUGAAAGUCCUGCUUUUAAGGUGGGAAUUGCUUUGGAUACUGUCGGGCUUGAGUGCAGGAGAGGUUAGUGGAAUUCCCAGUGUAGCGGUGAAAUGCGUAGAGAUUGGGAGGAACACCAGUGGCGAAGGCGACUAACUGGACUGUAACUGACGCUGAGGCGCGAAAGUGUGGGGAGCAAACAGGAUUAGAUACCCUGGUAGUCCACACUGUAAACGAUGAAUGCUAGGUGUAGGGGGUAUCGACCCCUUCUGUGCCGCAGUCAACACAAUAA